rnacentral:rRNA from 1 species
AUUGAACGCUGGCGGCAGGCCUAACCCAUGCAAAUCGAACGCGUGGCGGACGGGUGAGUAAUGUCUGGGAAACUGCCCGAUGGAGGGGGAUAACUACUGGAAACGGUAGCUAAUACCGCAUACCAUCGGAUGGACCACGAUGGGCUUAGCUAGUAGGGGGGGUAACGGCUCACCUAGGCGCAGAUCCCUAGCAGGUCUGAGAGGAUGACCAGAAAAACUGGAACUGAGACAAGGGCCAGAAGACUACGGGAGGCAGCAGUGGGGAAUAUUGCACAAUGGGCGCAAGCAUGAUGCAGCCAUGCCGAGUGUAUGAAGAAGGCCUUCGGGUGGUAAAGUACUUUCAGCGGGGAGGCGUUACCCGCAGAAGAAGCACCGGCUAACUCCGUGCCAGCAGCCGCGGUAAUUC